rnacentral:rRNA from 1 species
AAUCCAUAGGUUAAUGAGGCGAACCGGGGGAACUGAAACAUCUAAGUACCCCGAGGAAAAGAAAUCAACCGAGAUUCCCCCAGUAGCGGCGAGCGAACGGGGAGGAGCCCAGAGCCUGAAUCAGCAUGUGUGUUAGUGGAAGCGUCUGGAAAGGCGCGCGAUACAGGGUGACAGCCCCGUACACAAAAGCGCAUGUGCUGUGAGCUCGAUGAGUAGGGCGGGACACGUGGUAUCCUGUCUGAAUAUGGGGGGACCAUCCUCCAAGGCUAAAUACUCCUGACUGACCGAUAGUGAACCAGUACCGUGAGGGAAAGGCGAAAAGAACCCCGGCGAGGGGAGUGAAAAAGAACCUGAAACCGUGUACGUACAAGCAGUGGGAGCACAGGUUUACCUGUGUGACUGCGUACCUUUUGUAUAAUGGGUCAGCGACUUAUAUUCUGUAGCAAGGUUAACCGAAUAGGGGAGCCGGAGGGAAACCGAGUCUUAACCGGGCGUUAAGUUGCAGGGUAUAGACCCGAAACCCGGUGAUCUAGCCAUGGGCAGGUUGAAGGUUGGGUAACACUAACUGGAGGACCGAACCGACUAAUGUUGAAAAAUUAGCGGAUGACCUGUGGCUGGGGGUGAAAGGCCAAUCAAACCGGGAGAUAGCUGGUUCUCCCCGAAAGCUAUUUAGGUAGCGCCUCGUGAAUUCAUCUCCGGGGGUAGAGCACUGUUUCGGCUAGGGGGCCAUCCCGGCUUACCAACCCGAUGCAAACUGCGAAUACCGGAGAAUGUUAUCACGGGAGACACACGGCGGGUGCUAACGUCCGUCGUGAAGAGGGAAACAACCCAGACCGCCAGCUAAGGUCCCAAAGUCAUGGUUAAGUGGGAAACGAUGUGGGAAGGCCCAGACAGCCAGGAUGUUGGCUUAGAAGCAGCCAUCAUUUAAAGAAAGCGUAAUAGCUCACUGGUCGAGUCGGCCUGCGCGGAAGAUGUAACGGGGCUAAACCAUGCACCGAAGCUGCGGCAGCGACACUGUGUGUUGUUGGGUAGGGGAGCGUUCUGUAAGCCUGUGAAGGUGU